AACGAACGCUGGCGGCAUGCCUAACACAUGCAAGUCGAACGAGACCUUCGGGUCUAGUGGCGCACGGGUGCGUAACGCGUGGGAACCUGCCUUUAGGUUCGGAAUAACUCAGAGAAAUUUGAGCUAAUACCGGAUGAUGUCUUCGGACCAAAGAUUUAUCGCCCUUAGAUGGGCCCGCGUUGGAUUAGCUAGUUGGUGGGGUAAAGGCCUACCAAGGCGACGAUCCAUAGCUGGUCUGUGAGGAUGAUAAGCCACACUGGGACUGAGACACGGCCCAGACUCCUACGGGAGGCAGCAGUAGUGGAUAUUAGACUAUGGACCAAAACCUGAUCCAGCAAUGCCGCGUGAGUGAUGAAGGCCUUAGGGUUGUAAAGCUCUUUUACCCGAGAUGAUAAUGACAGUAUCGGGAGAAUAAGCUACGGCUAACUCCGUG
rnacentral:rRNA from 1 species